CCUACGGGUGGCAGCAGUGGGGAAUAUUGCACAAUGGGCGAAAGCCUGAUGCAGCAACGCCGCGUGAAGGAAGAAGGCUUUCGUCUCGUAAACCUCUAUCAACAGGGACGAAAAUAAUGCCAGUACCUGAAUAAGCAGCCCCGGCUAACUACGUGGCAGCCGCCGCGGUAAGACGUAGGGGGCAAGCGUUAUGCGGAAUUACUGGGUGUAAAGGGUGAGUAGGCGGCAUGGUAAGCCAGAUGUGAACGCGUGGGGCUUAACCCGAGGAUUGCAUUUGGAACUAGCAAGCUAGAGUACAGGAGAGGAAAGCGGAAUUCCUAGGGUAGCGGUGAAAUGCGUAGAUAUUAGGAAGAACACCAGUGGCGAAGGCGGCUUUCUGGACUGAAACUGACGCUGAGGCACGAAAGCGUGGGGAGCGAACAGGAUUAGAUACCCCAGUAGUC
rnacentral:rRNA from 1 species